rnacentral:tRNA from 5 species
GCUGGUGUAACUCAGUUGGUAGAGUAGCUGAUUUGUAAUCAGCCUGUCAGGAGUUCGAGUCUCCUCACCAGCU